CUGCGGAGGGAUCAUUACAGAGUUCAUGCCCUCCGGGUAGAUCUCCCACCCACUGCUAUCACUACUCUCGUUGCUUUGGCGGGCCGCUGGGCCCUGCCCGGCCGCCGGCCCCGGCUGGCGCGUGCCCGCCAGAGACCUCACAGACUCUGAAUGUUAGUGUCGUCCGAGUAACUAUACAAUCGUUAAAACUUUCAACAACGGAUCUCUUGGUUCUGGCAUCGAUGAAGAACGCAGCGAAAUGCGAUAAGUAAUGCGAAUUGCAGAAUUCAGUGAGUCAUCGAAUCUUUGAACGCACAUUGCGCCCUGUGGUAUUCCGCAGGGCAUGCCUGUUCGAGCGUCAUUUCAACCCUCAAGCCUCGCUUGGUGUUGGGCCCUGCCCGCCGCGGCCGGCCCUAAAGAUAGUGGCGGCGCCGCCUGGCCCUCAGCGUAGUACAGCUCUCGCUCCAGGGUCCGGCGGCAGCCUGCCAGAACCCCCCAACUCUGUGGUUGACCUCGGAUCAGGUAGGGAUACCCGCUGAACUUAAGCAUAUCAAUAAGCGGAGGAAAAGAAACCAACAGGGAUUGCCUCAGUAACGGCGAGUGAAGCGGCAACAGCUCAAAUUUGAAAUCUGGCCCCUUCGGGGUCCGAGUUGUAAUUUGGAGAGGAUGCUUCGGGUGUGGCCCCGGUCUAAGUUCCUUGGAACAGGACGUCACAGAGGGGUGAGAAUCCCGUACGUGCCCGGUGGCCGCCCCCGUGUGAAGCUCCUUCGACGAGUCGAGUUGUUUGGGAUGCAGCUCAAAUGGGUGGUAAUUUCAUCU
rnacentral:rRNA from 1 species